rnacentral:rRNA from 1 species
AGCUAAUAGAUACCCUGGUAGUCCACGCCCUAAACGAUGUCUACUAGUUGUUGGUGGAGUAAAAUCCAUGAGUAAACGCAGCUAACGCGUGAAGUAGACCGCCUGGGGAGUACGGUCGCAAGAUUAAAACUCAAAGGAGUUGACGGGGGCCCGGCACAAGCGGUGGAUUAUGUGGAUUAAUUCGAUGCAACGCGAAAACCUUAACCUGGCCUUGACAUGCCACUAACGAAGCAGAGAUGCAUUAGGUGCCCGUAACGGGAAAGUGGACACAGGUGCUGCAUGGCUGUCGUCAGCUCGUGUCGUGAGAUGUUGGGUUAAGUUCCCGCAACGAGCGCAACCCUUGCCAUUAAUUGCCAUCAUUUAGUUGGGUCACUUUAAUGGGACUGCCGGUGACAAACCGGAGGAAGGUGGGGAUGACGUC